rnacentral:rRNA from 1 species
CUUGGGUACUCGAGUGGCGAACGGGUGAGUAACACGUGGGUGAUCUGCCCUGCACUUCGGGAUAAGCCUGGGAAACUGGGUCUAAUACCGGAUAGGAGCCAUUUUUAGUGUGAUGGUUGGAAAGUUUUUCGGUGUAGGAUGAGCUCGCGGCCUAUCAGCUUGUUGGUGGGGUAAUGGCCUACCAAGGCGGCGACGGGUAGCCGGCCUGAGAGGGUGUACGGCCACAUUGGGACUGAGAUACGGCCCAG